rnacentral:rRNA from 1 species
GUGGGGAAUAUUGGACAAUGGGCGCAAGCCUGAUCCAGCCAUGCCGCGUGAGUGAUGAAGGCCUUAGGGUUGUAAAGCUCUUUUGUCCGGGAAGAUAAUGACUGUACCGGAAGAAUAAGCCCCGGCUAACUUCGUGCCAGCAGCCGCGGUAAUACGAAGGGGGCUAGCGUUGCUCGGAAUCACUGGGCGUAAAGGGCGCGUAGGCGGACUUUUAAGUCGGAGGUGAAAGCCCAGGGCUCAACCCUGGAAUAGCCUUCGAUACUGGGAGUCUUGAGUUCGGAAGAGGUUGGUGGAACUGCGAGUGUAGAGGUGAAAUUCGUAGAUAUUCGCAAGAACACCGGUGGCGAAGGCGGCCAACUGGUCCGAAACUGACGCUGAGGCGCGAAAGCGUGGGGAGCAAACAGGAUUAGAAACCCCAGUAGUCC